CUCAAUUAGUCAGCUUGUAGAGCCCAUCUAGGACCCAUCUAAUGGCUGUGUGGCCUAUAUGCAUCUUGAUAGGAGGAAUCCCUGAUUAGAAAGAUGGAUUGUAUUUAUGUUUAUAGGACUCCCCUUGGUAAGGACCGAAGCAUCCUUGGUUUUAACCAUCCGUUAACUUACCCCAUUUCUUCUUCUUAUAUAACCAUGUGUCUUCCCUAAUGCCUCUAGUGUCUUGUCAGUGGAAGGUUAUGUUUUGCACUAGCAUAGAAGUAUUGAUGUCUUCUUGCUUAUUGAAAAUAGAAAGAAAGGCUCUAUAAAGGAUUAUAGGUUUUGCAUGGCUUGUGGGAUGGGAUCAUAUCUGGAUGAUUAACUGCCUUUGUCGUAGAAAUAUGUUGAUCGUUGGUGGUUGCUACUUAUGCUUCGUGAUGCUGAAUGUGUUAGGCAUCUCCUCAUCAAUUGCUCCUAUGUUUUCGGUCGUAUGAGGAUGGUAUUCCGGUUAGUUUAAUGUGGCUUGGUUAUGCUGAUAUUCAACAACUUUUUGAGGCGUGGAGACUGAGAGCCCAUUUGGUUGAAAAGGAAAAGUUUUAUGGAACCUUUGCUUUGUUGCGAUCCUUUGGGCUAUUUGGAAGGAAAGAAACAAACACACUUUCAACAAUAUUAUUGAAUUGUCUUCCUCUGUCAUUUUUAGAGUUGAAAGUCUUGUUAGCUCUUCGUUAGCUCUUGAGUUGGUACCUUAUGUAUUGGUCCCUUAUGUAGUUUUAUUGGUUGGUUCUUCUUUCUAAUCCCUUUGGGCAGUUCUUUUAAUAAUGCAUUACUUAAAUUUUAAAAAAAAAGGAAGAAAGAAAAACAAAAAGAAGUAUUGCGUCUUCUUGUUAGCUGUUCCAAGUAAUAGCUAAUUGCUAAUAACUUGUAUGAUCAUCUGAGAUCAUCUUGAAAAAAUAAUAUAUAAAAUUUUGAGAUGAUUAUUAUUAUUAUUUUUUACAGUGAUGCAAACUAUUGAGAUGAUUCGACCCGUUUCAUGUGAUCCAAACCUUUGACAUGCUUGGGCCAUUUAAGUGGAUCAAAUCCUUUUACAUACUUGGUUCAUUGGUCAUCUACAGUUGGCUUGUUUUCAAUGAUCAAAACCUUUCAUAUUACUCAAUUUACACACUUUUAAUAAAAUUUCAGUUCUCUCUCUCUCUCUCUCU